UCGAAAAGAUCCCACAUCAGUCUGGCAAGGGCAGUGCUCCACACCCCGUGCUGACUGGCAUUUGUUGUAUCACCUCCUCGAAAUUUUUAUUAACGAGGCCCCACCUCAGCUCUUCCAUUACGUUGCCCAGGAGUGAUGGCCGCCUGGCAGGGCUGUAAUUACCCACAUUAUCCCACUGGCUCCAUGGAGAUGCUGCCACACCACGAGGCCUCCCGGAGCCUCCCUGGAUGGGACACACAGAGGAGAGAACCUUAGCCCUCCAUCUCGCCAGCCCAGCAAUCACAGCGAUGAGCCAAGUAUCUCUGGACAGUCUUUAAUUUAUUUCCCGGCGCACACGGACACUGCUGAGAGACUUGAUGGCACCAGCUUAAACAUAAUAAAUUACUCAAGUAUCAGA